AGACUACAGUAUAGUGUAAACAUAAAUUUUACAUGCACUGGGAAACAAAAUAAUCUGUGUGACCCACUUUAUUGCAAUGUUCACUUUAUUAUGGUAGUCUGGAACCGAACCCACAAUAUCUCCGAGAUAUGCCUGGACCACACAGGUUUUC